GACGAACGCUGGCGGCGUGCUUAACACAUGCAAGUCGAACGGAAAGGCCCUGCUUUUGUGGGGUGCUCGAGUGGCGAACGGGUGAGUAACACGUGAGUAACCUGCCCUUGACUUUGGGAUAACUUCAGGAAACUGGGGCUAAUACCGGAUAGGAGCUCCUGCUGCAUGGUGGGGGUUGGAAAGUUUCGGCGGUUGGGGAUGGACUCGCGGCUUAUCAGCUUGUUGGUGGGGUAGUGGCUUACCAAGGCUUUGACGGGUAGCCGGCCUGAGAGGGUGACCGGCCACAUUGGGACUGAGAUACGGCCCAGACUCCUACGGGAGGCAGCAGUGGGGAAUAUUGCACAAUGGGCGGAAGCCUGAUGCAGCAACGCCGCGUGCGGGAUGACGGCCUUCGGGUUGUAGACCGCUUUCGCCUGUGACGAAGCGUGAGUGACGGUAAUGGGUAAAGAAGCACCGGCUAACUACGUG
rnacentral:rRNA from 1 species